CGGAGGAAAGGACAUCAAUUGAUACUCCCCUAGUAGCGGCGAGCGAACGGGGACCAGCCGAGCUGUGCGUGUGAUUAGAAUGGUCUGGAAAGGCCAACCAUAGUGGGUGACAGUCCCGUAUAAUAAGCACAAUCAGACGUAUUAAGUAGGGCGGAACACGUGAAAUCCUGUCUGAACAUGGGGGGACCACCCUCCAAGCCUAAAUACUCGUACAUGACCGAUAGCGAACACAGUACCGUGAGGGAAAGGUGAAAAGCACCCCGACGAGGGGAGUGAAACAGUACCUGAAACCGAACGCCUACAAUCAGUUGGAGGGCCCAUGCGGCCUGACAGCGUACCUUUUGUAUAAUGGGUCAUCGACUUAGUGU
rnacentral:rRNA from 1 species